ensembl:lncRNA
GUGGUAGAGGGCUGACAGCAGAGGUGUCUGUCUGAACUGAUAAAUAUCUGUGGGUUAGGGUGGUAGAGGGCUGACAGCAGAGGUGUCUGUCUGAACUGAUAAAUAUCUCUGGGUUAGGGUGGUAGAGGGCUGACAGCAGAGGUGUCUGUCUGAACUGAUACAUAUCUCUGGGUUAGGGUGGUAGAGGGCUGACAGCAGAGGUGUCUGUCUGAACUGAUAAAUAUCUGUGGGUUAGGGUGGUAGAGGGCUGACAGCAGAGGUGUCUGUCUGAACUGAUAAAUAUCUCUGGGUUAGGGUGGUAGAGGGCUGACAGCAAAGGUGUCUGUCUGAACUGAUUAAUAUCUGUGGGUUAGGGUGGUAGAGGGCUGACAACAGAGGUGUCUGUCUGGAUUUUUAACAGUCCUUUACCGGCCUGGACUCUUUUAGGCCCGAGGUACAGGACAUUUCUGGAGGAACCAGAACUCAUUGUGUUAUAUUGUUAUGUGUGUGUGAUCAUUUGUUGGUAAUACAACCCACGCAAAAUAAUAUCGUUUUUGAAGUUCUUUCCAAUGUUUUAAGGGUUUAUGAAAAGUUUAUUUCCAUCCUGACUUUUACAUAUAAGUCCUUUUGUAUUGGUGUAGACUUGACGGACCAGAUGGGACUCAUUCCCUCCCAAACCAAAAGGAGAAACCAAUGUUUU